AGUGAACGCUGGCGGUAGGCCUAACACAUGCAAGUCGAACGGCAGCACAGUAAGAGCUUGCUCUUACGGGUGGCGAGUGGCGGACGGGUGAGGAAUACAUCGGAAUCUACUUUUUCGUGGGGGAUAACGUAGGGAAACUUACGCUAAUACCGCAUACGACCUACGGGUGAAAGCAGGGGAUCUUCGGACCUUGCGCGAUUGAAUGAGCCGAUGUCGGAUUAGCUAGUUGGCGGGGUAAAGGCCCACCAAGGCGACGAUCCGUAGCUGGUCUGAGAGGAUGAUCAGCCAAACUGGAACUGAGACACGGUCCCGACUCCUACGGGAGGCAGCCGUGGGGAAUUUUGGACAAUGGGCGGAAGCCUGAUCCAGCCAUACCGCGUGGGUGAAGAAGGCCUUCGGGUUGUAAAGCCCUUUUGUUGGGGAAGAAAAGCAGCAGGUUAAUACCCCGCUGUUCUGACGGUACCCAAAGAAUAAGCACCGGCUAACUUCGUG
rnacentral:rRNA from 1 species